rnacentral:rRNA from 1 species
AGCAGUCGCCGCGGUAAGACAGAGGAUGCAAGCGUUAUCCGGAAUGAUUGGGCGUAAAGCGUGCGCAGGCGGUUCGUUAAGACAGAUGUGAAAUCCCCGGGCUUAACCUGGGAACUGCAUUUGUGACUGGCGGGCUAGAGUAUGGCAGAGGGGGGUAGAAUUCCACGUGUAGCAGUGAAAUGCGUAGAGAUGUGGAGGAAUACCGAUGGCGAAGGCAGCCCCCUGGGCCAAUACUGACGCUCAUGCACGAAAGCGUGGGGAGCAAACAGGAUUAGAUACCCGCGUAGUCCCUGUCUCUUAUAC